rnacentral:rRNA from 1 species
AGAGUUUGAUCAUGGCUCAGGAUGAACGCUGGCGGCGUGCCUAAUACAUGCAAGUCGAGCGAGAAAUUCUUUAAUGAAUCUUCGGAGGAUUAGAGAAUGGACAGCGGCGGACGGGUGAGUAACGCGUAGGCAACCUGCCUCACACAGAGGGAUAGCCAUUGGAAACGAUGAAUAAUACCUCAUGAAACCGGAACAACACAUGUUGAUCCGGUCAAAGAUUUAUCGGUGUGAGAUGGGCCUGCGUCUGAUUAACUAGUUGGUGAGGUAACGGCUCACCAAGGUGACGAUCAGUAGCCGACCUGAGAGGGUGAUCGGCCACAUUGGAACUGAGACACGGUCCAAACUUCUACGGAAGGCAGCAGUAGGGAAUCUUGCACAAUGGGCGAAAGCCUGAUGCAGCAACGCCGCGUGGAGGAUGAAGGCCUUCGGGUUGUAAACUUCUGUUCCCGGGGACGAAGAAAGUGACGGUACCCGGGCAGCAAGCCCCGGCUAACUACGUGCCAGCAGCCGCGGUAAUACGUAGGGGGCAAGCGUUAUCCGGAAUUAUUGGGCGUAAAGAGUGCGUAGGUGGUUAUGUAAGCGUGAGGUUUAAGGCAGUGGCUUAACCACUGUUCGCCUUGCGAACUGCAUAACUUGAGUGCAGGAGGGGAAAGCGGAAAUCCUAGUGUAGCGGUGAAAUGCGUAGAUAUUAGGAGGAACACCAGCGGCGAAGGCGGCUUUCUGGACUGCAACUGACACUGAGGCACGAAAGCGUGGGGAGCAAACAGGAUUAGAUACCCUGGUAGUCC